rnacentral:rRNA from 1 species
UACGUAGGGGGCUAGCGUUGUCCGGAAUCAUUGGGCGUAAAGCGCGCGUAGGCGGCCCGGUAAGUCCGCUGUAAAAGUCCAGGGCUCAACCCUGGAAAGCCGGUGGAUACUGUCGGGCUCGAGUCCGGAAGAGGCGAGUGGAAUUCCUGGUGUAGCGGUGAAAUGCGCAGAUAUCAGGAAGAACACCCGUGGCUAAGGCGGCUCUCUAGUACGGUACUGACGCUGAGACGCGAAAGCGUGGGGAGCGAACAGG